UGCUUCAAGUUACAGAAGUUUAUUAUUAUUAAAAGAAAUUUGACAAAAUACUUCUGAAAUGCUGAAUAAGUAUAAAUUAUUGACUGGCUACUAUUCUUUUUCUUUUUUUCAAAACUCAAUGACAUUAUAAUACAGCCCAGAAAAUCUACAGAGAACAUUAAAAACAGCAUUUUGCUAACAAAUAAGCAGAUAAUUUAAAAUGAAACUAAUGAACAUUUAAAAAAAUUGUCUAACUUUAAAUCUUAAAGACAAACUGUUAUUGCAAAGCUAUAAAAUACAUACAAGCAAAUGCUGUCAUAUAUGGCAUGCCCUACUUUGGCUGUAAAAUAUAUUUUUUUGUGUUUAAUGCAGUAAUUUUUGUUUGUGAAAACAGAAAAACAUUUUAAAAGGAAAAAAUACUUUUAUCUCUCUAAAAAUGGACAUACAGGUAUUAUGGUAGUAAUCAUACAAAACAUGUUAAAUGAAACAUCCCAAAUAAAAUGUCUAAGAACAUAUAGAUUUUAACAUUUCAGAAUCUAAUCAUCGUCAUCAUUAUCAUCACUACUUCUACUGUGAGUCACAAUCCACUCCCUGUAGACCUGAAUUUUCUGUGAGCAUGGUAAAGAAAAAAAGAAGCACAAAGGUUAGUUAAGUAUGGCAAACUGCUUGGAAAACAUGUACAAUUAUGAAAUGGUCAAGAAGUCAAUA
rnacentral:lncRNA from 1 species